GAAAAGACAAUUCCUCUUGGCUGACCUAAGCAGAAGUAUUGGCUUGGGUCUCUGAAAGGAGUUCUUUCUUACUGCUGAUGCAGCUUUAUAGCCUGCAGCAAGAAGACAUAGUCAAGAGGCGGUAAAGUAUAGUGUCAUCUGAACCAGAAGUUCUCCAUGUUUUUAUAACCUCCCUUGAGAAUGAUGUCCAUGGUCUAUGUCUGACUGGAUUCCCAGGAGACAACACAAGCUCUCUGUACAGCUGCUUCAGGAAUGGAACAGACCACUUGUGCUGAAAGUCUUCUCCUCCUGCUGCCUUUGCUUCCCCAGCAUGAUGGAUGGCACAUUGCUAUCCUGGAGCAAAGGGCCCUGCGUUCUUCUUCUGUGUGAUUUGAGGUGGUGAAAGUGCUUUGUUAUCAGAUUACCAAAAUACCCCAAGCCAGCAAACCCAGGGGUCUAAACUAGCUCAAAGGGAACUUAACAAACGAGCUCCUGUGGAGAGCUGCUCUUCCUCCAAAGGAUUUAUGUCUUUCUCUACAGAUCACAAAAAUAUAUAAUGGAUCAAGAAGAUAGCCACAACUAUAAGGAGAACAGGGAACUGCUUUGGGUGCUUGCUUCUGCCACUAAAACUCUCCCUGAACACUGCCCCCAAGCAAUGGCUCUUCCUAAGUUUGAGGAAGGAGGGACUAGUUGUCUCCAUGGAAGCUUUCUUGUUCUCUAGCUCUGCAAGUCCUCCAAAUCCAGGAGCCUGGGCCAAACAGAGAAUAGGCUGAAGAAAGAUGCCUCCUAUCUCAGCUUCACAGUUACUUCUUCAAGUCUUGGCAAUGUGAGCCAAAAGUUCCCUGACACGCAAGCAGGAAGGGCUUAGGAGACAUAAAUGGCAGAUUGCUCCAGCCAAAACACAAAAUACUGCUUGAACAUUGGUGGAAGAAUUGUAUCUCACAUGUGACAGGUGUCCUGAAUGUGAGUUAAGAAAGACUUGGAACUUGGCCUUUGAGUGUCUCCACUUAAGAGCUGCCAAAGCUCACCUGACAGGACACUUACAAUGACACAACCAAUUCAGAACCACAGAAUCAUUUAGGUUGGAAAGGACCUUUAAGAUCAUCAACUACAACCAUAAACCUAACGUUGCCAAAACUACCAAUGGAAAUUGAUUCAAUUUCAAUUAGUUAUGGUUAUUUUUCUGCUUCUAUUUUGAAACCACUUAGAGCUAUCCACUGCAGCUGAUGCCAGAUCAUAGUGGAACUACAAGCUCAAACAAAUUACCUUUAUCUAUACAAAGGAGUACUGAUGCUUUAAGUUGGAGUCUGUCUGCAGUGAGUAACUCAGUGUGCAGUAGCCAGAGUGUGAAUUUGCAACUCACAAACUCAUCUGCACAAGGCUUUUGCAUAGUCACUGGGAAAGCAGAGUAAGUUACUGUAAUAUAUAUUGUAUACUAAGAACACCCAUAAAGAAUAUAGUUCAAAGUAGCUAAGGAACUAUAUAUUCACAUCCUGACUAAGUAUGCACUUAUUUGUUCCAUGCAUUAAUGUAAAACCUAAAUUAGAAACCAUAUGAGUUGGUAAACCCCAUGUUUGCUUUUGUGCUACAGCAAAAACAAAACCAGAAGCACUAAAAGGUUAAGGUAGGAACAGGAGAGGAGGGACUUUACUCCAGUAAUCCACAUGAGCACCAGCACUCAGUUCUUCUCCCACGCAGCUUCUCCCUCUGCUCUCCCCUGCACCAAAGCUCAGUGUCCUGCCUCAUGGCUCAGGUGUCCAGCCCUGUUCCCUGGUUUGGUCACUCACUUCCCUCCUUCUUCAGGGCUCACUGCAGCCCAGGGAUGGCCCCAGCCUGGCCCAGCAGAGCAGCCUGUUUCCCGCAGGCCUCCUGACUUUCCACUGAACUGCCCUAUGAUUAUCACAGUCAAACAAAUAAAUUUAAUGUAAUUUCCAGUUUAGAGAGAUUAAUUAUCUUUGAUUUACUUCUUGUCAAAAGGUUUUUCCUCCUGAUAUAACUGAUGUGAAAUUCCAGGAAAUGAUCAGUUAAACCCAAGGAGAGUCUGAGUGGAGGCUUGUGCUGGCUGGACACACAGAUAGAGUGUCCAGCCAGGACAGCCCCAGAAUACACUGCCAUGGUAGAGCAUGCUGCUUGAAGUCUUCAAAAUACUAUUUCCUGCCAUAUUCUAACCCAUAAUAUGAAACUUUCCCCUGUCUCCCCAAGCCACAGCCAUGGGAUCUCACUGGUUGCUGGCCCUGUGGGAGAAGGGUGAGGUCGGUGCCCCACGCUGAGUCACAGAACCCCACGGAGGGGCUACACAUCACUUGGCCUCCAGCCUGGGAUAUGUGCCCCUCCAGAUGCCAGUGCCAGGCUGAGUCCUGAUGCAGGAAGUGUGGCCCUUAUGGCAUCUGCUCUGCUUCCCAGGCUUAAAAGCAGGAAUGAAAGGAGAAUAAAAGCCCCUCUCCAAAGCAGGCUCUUUCUGACACCCCAUGUCUGUAUAAUCUCAGUCUCUUGGCUGGGGCCUGUGGAGCAGUGCCAGCAGGAAUGCCAACACAGGGUUACUCUUCCUCACCAUCUCCAGCAAUACUGCUCACCAGAGAGGUGUUUCUUUCACGUGCGUAAGAUAAUUUCCAAAACAAAGGAUUUAAAUACACAUUACUAAUCUCAUUUGGAUUCUGUCCAGAAGAACUAAACAAAAGCCUUUUAACUAAUAAGAUAACAAUAGCAAAAUCAUACUAUUGUAUUUCAGAAAUAUUUAUUCAAAACUGUAAGAAAUAACUGCUCGAAAUAUUCAGGCACGUACCAGAAAUUCUGUCAUUUGGGUACAUAUUUUAUGGGGUUUUUUUGAGACUAACCCUUUGAUUAUAGGUUUUUCUGCUCAGUUUUUCAUGAGUCUGGCUGGUUUUUUCCCCCAUCCCUUGUCCGUCUGUGGGUAAUCACAUUCUCUUUGCAGCUUCCUCCUCGCUCUACUUGGAUGUCCUCUUCUGGGGUCACAAUCUGCCUUGCUUGGAUGUUUGCUCAGAGAAGCUUUUCUUGCUAUGGGCCCUCUGAACUGAUGGCCCUCUCUGCUCCCCUCCAACUCUGCCCCAGGAGCUUUGGAAAACUGAAUUAAUGAGUAUGGACAACAUCAUUUUGAGAGAUGCAAGGCAGUUUUCGUAAGAUGGAAAGACAGACUUUUACAGCAUCAAAGCUUCUACAGGAGUAAAGACACCCCUUGGCCUAAAACCAGGGCUUUUUUACAA